GAAUUAACACCACACUCACCGUUACCGGAGUGUUGCGGUCGGACGGGCCGUUCACCUACCGGGCCUCCAAUCCGGUUAGCGCGGAAACAAGCGUGCCGUUCCAUCUCAAUGUCUUUUACGGGCCGGAUCUUCCUAUUAUAAUUCCUGAUCCCGCCAUCCCUGCUUACACUUCCGGGACCGACGUCACUCUUACCUUUUCUGCAGAGUCUAAACCAGCUGAUGUGUUGAGGUGAUACCUUCAAAGUGACUUGGUCCAGAGUGGAGACAAACUCACCAUUCCCAGUGUUUCCACUAAAGACAUUGGAGUUAAUUCUGUCAGGCCUUUAACGAUGUGACCGAGAGGUACCGUGCCUCAUCAAUACUAAUCGAUGUUCAGGAACGGGUGGCGAAUGUCAGUCUACGAUCCAACAUGUCCGAGCGGGUGGAACACCGAGACUCCGUCUUGUUGACGUGCAGCUCCCAGGGAACUCAACUGCAGCGGGAAUGGUUAUUCAACAAUCAACCCAUCCAGCAGAAUGA